rnacentral:misc_RNA from 1 species
GGUGGACAAGAUUCAAUUACAUCAGGAUACAAUGUGCCUUGGACCAAGUAUGACGGCUUCUUACCAAUUUUAAGUUCCAACUCAUGGCCAAAUGAAUCAAAUAUAGAAAUGAACUCCUUUCCAAUUAUUUUUCUUUUAACCUCAGGAUCUGUUACACCUUUAAGCUUGCUAAGAAAUUGGUCAACUGCAUCGACACAAGUAACAGGCAGAUGAAGAUCUCUUUCAAAGGUUUCCAUAACACGUUCUCUUUCUUUAUACCUCAAUAAACCGUUGUCAACAAAAACACAGUGAAGCCUUUCCCCAAUUGCCUUGUGAACAAGAGUAGCAGCAACUGUUGAAUCCACACCUCCUGAUAAUGCACAGAUGACAUGUUCGUCUGGACCCACAGUUUCUUUGAUUACUUUAAUUUCUUCAUCUAGUAUAUUUUCCAUCUUCCAGUUGGCAGUAAUUCCACAGACAUCAAAGAGAAAAUAACGUAACGUCUCCAUUCCUUCUGGUGAAUGUGUCACCUCCGGAUGAUACUGCAACCCAUAAAAC